rnacentral:ncRNA from 1 species
GAUGUUCGGGGACUGCACGCGCGCUACACUGGAAGAAUCAGCUGGUCCUUCCAUUGCCGAAAGGUAUUGGUAAACCGUUGAAACUCUUCCGUGACCGGGAUAGGGAAUUGUAAUUAUUUCCCUUGAACGAGGAAUUCCUAGUAAGUGUGAGUCAUCAGCUCACGUUGAUUACGUCCCUGCCCUUUGUACACACCGCCCGUCGCUGUCCGGGACUGAGCUGUUUCGAGAAGAGUGGAGACUGCUGUAUUGGGGCUUUCGGGCUCUGGUAUGAUGGAAACCAUUUUAAUCGCAAUGGCUUGAACCGGGCAAAAGUCGUAACAAGGUAUCUGUAGGUGAACCUGCAGAUGGAUCAUCG